GCUACAGCCUGCAAUGUUACCUUUGGGUUUUGCAUACAAUUGAGUUCAAAAGGUGCAUAUCUUCCCUGGUUUCUUCACUACUUAAUAGAAUCAUCUUAACUGUCUAACUGAGAUAUUCCAGUCUUUUUCAAGGAAGUAUAUAUACAAAUCUUGUGUCUACGGGGUUUGACCACAAAUAAAUGCGAUAAGUACCUAAAUCCACCCCGUCAACCCAUAUUUCUCAGCAACGUUGUACAUUACUAGCUUGUCCCACACAUGACCAAAUAGAUGCUCUCCUCCAACGGAAAAGGUAAGAGCCCAACUUGAGAUGAUAACAGCAAAUACCGUGAAACCAAUUGCUGACCUGACAACAUAUCGGCGGAGAUCUGGAUGAUAAUAAGAGCUAGGACGACGAAGAACAGGCCAAAAGUAUAAGCAAUUGACAGCCCAAAGCCAAGGAAGAAGUAAAAAUCCGAACUUGAAGAAUCUACGCGCGUGAUCGACGGACUCCUGCUCCGAGAGACCCAGUGGUCCGUCUACUGUCGGCCAGUCAACUCUUAGCGGAUUCCGGUGGGUCGCAACGGAGGAAGGGGCGGUGGAGAUGAUAUUAUGAGUAGGAUUGGCGGGAGCCGCCUCCAUGUCCUGAUCUGAGAAGUUGUAGAUACCUACAGAUAGCCGUCGAUUGAAU
rnacentral:misc_RNA from 1 species